rnacentral:rRNA from 1 species
GUGGGGAAUCUUCCGCAAUGGACGAAAGUCUGACGGAGCAACGCCGCGUGAGUGAAGAAGGUUUUCGGAUCGUAAAGCUCUUUCGUUAGGGACGAACGUGCUCUUUGUGAAUAAUGAGGAGUAAUGACGGUACCUAAAUAAGAAGCCACGGCUAACUACGUGCCAGCAGCCGCGGUAAUACGUAGGUGGCAAGCGUUGUCCGGAAUUAUUGGGCGUAAAGCGCGCGCAAGCGGGAUAUCAAGUCUGUCUUAAAAAUGCGAGGCUCAACCUCGUGAGGGGACAGAAACUGGUAUUCUUGAGUGUCGGAGAGGAAAGUGGAAUUCCAAGUGUAGCGGUGAAAUGCGUAGAGAUUUGGAAGAACACCAGUGGCGAAGGCGACUUUCUGGACGAUGUCUGACGCUGAGGCGCGAAAGCUAGGGGAGCGAACGGGAUUAGAUACCCUGGUAGUCC